GUGCUUGCUUCAGCAGCACAUAUACUAAAAUUGGAACUAUACACAGAAGAUUAGCAUGGCCACUGCACAAAGAUGACAUGCAAAUUCAUGAAAUACCACGUAUGUUU
rnacentral:snRNA from 1 species